GAUGAACGCUGGCGGCGUGCCUAAUACAUGCAAGUCGAGCGAACAGACGAGGAGCUUGCUCCUCUGACGUUAGCGGCGGACGGGUGAGUAACACGUGGAUAACCUACCUAUAAGACUGGGAUAACUUCGGGAAACCGGAGCUAAUCCCGGAUAAUAUAUUGAACCGCAUGGUUCAAUGGUGAAAGACGGUUUUGCUGUAACUACUAGAUGCAUCUGCGCCGCAUUAGCUGGUUGUUACGGUAAAGGCCUACGAAGGCAACGAGGCGUUGCCGACCUGAGAGGGGGAUAGCCCACACUGGAGCGGGGCCACGGUCCAGGCUCCUGCGGGAGGCAGCAGUAGGGAAUCUGCCGCAAUGGGCGAAAGCCUUACGGAGCAACGCCGCGUGAGUGAUGAAGGUCUUCGGAUCGUAAAACUCUGUUAUUAGGGAAGAACAAAUGUGUAAGUAACUAUGCACGUCUUGACGGUACCUGAUCAGAAAGCCACGGCUAACUACGUG
rnacentral:rRNA from 1 species